GGAGUUAGCCGGUGCUUCUUCUGCGAGUAACGUCACAGAUGUAAGGUAUUAACUUACACCCUUCCUCCUCGCUGAAAGUGCUUUACAACCCGAAGGCCUUCUUCACACACGCGGCAUGGCUGCAUCAGGGUUUCCCCCAUUGUGCAAUAUUCCCCACUGCUGCCUCCCGUAGGAGUCUGGGCCGUGUCUCAGUCCCAGUGUGGCUGAUCAUCCUCUCAGACCAGCUAGGGAUCGUCGCCUAGGUGAGCCUUUACCUCACCUACUAGCUAAUCCCACCUGGGCUUAUCCAUCAGCGCAAGGCCCGAAGGUCCCCUGCUUUCCCCCGUAGGGCGUAUGCGGUAUUAGCAGUCGUUUCCAACUGUUAUCCCCCACAAAUGGGCAAAUUCCCAGGCAUUACUCACCCGUCCGCCGCUCGUCAUCUUCAAAGCAAGCUUUUGAAAUGUUACCGCUCGACUUGCAUGUGUUAGGCCUGCCGCCAGCGUUCAAUCUGAGCCAUAAUCAAACUCUGA
rnacentral:rRNA from 1 species